UACGGAGGGUGCGAGCGUUGUCCGGAAUCAUUGGGCGUAAAGGGCGCGUAGGUGGCGGGACAAGCGUGCGGUGAAAGCCUGGGGCUCAACCCCGGGUCGGCCGUGCGAACUGUUUUGCUUGAGCACUGUAGAGGCAGGCGGAAUUCCGGGUGUAGCGGUGGAAUGCGCAGAUAUCAGGAAGAACACCGGUGGCGAAGGCGGCUCUCUGGGCCUUACCUGACGCUGAGGAGCGAAAGCGUGGGUAGCGAACAGG
rnacentral:rRNA from 1 species